ACCCUCAUUCUUCUCCUUCACGUAGAGAACCCCACGCUUAGAGAACCCUAGACUUCCAUCUGUUCAUCCUUCUCCUUCUGUUUCAACUAUUAUGAUCCAUCAACCUAUGCAAUUAAUUGAUUCAAUCCAUAACAUUCCAGAAACCCUAAUUUCAGAAACCCGAUAAUAAGACCCUUUUCAGUCAAUAACAUUCCAAAAACCCUAUUUUCGGUCACCGCCGAUCAAGCAAAUCCACCACCAUCUCUUCCGAUUACAUUAGCAUCUGGUAAGUCAAUGUAUUUCUUCUUAUUUUCCUAUGAUUUCAUCUAUCUUUCAUCGAUGAUUUCGUUCAAUUACAUCUAAAUUGCAAAUGAUAUAGGUUUUUUGAUUUCAUCUGAUACGAUUUAUGAUCUGCGUUUUUUUUCUGAGAUUGAUCGUAUUUAGGUCAUCCUCAAGUACAUGCCUAAUGAGGCUCUGUUGUUGAAGGUGUACAGUGAGUUGCUAGAGAAUAUUAGGUUGAAUGUAGGUAUUGAUAAAAUUUAGGGUUUGCAAUUAAUUAUGUUAUAUAUUUUUAGUAGUUAUGUUAGUUGUUUAAUUGACUGAUGUUUGGAUUUGUGAAGUUUUGGAAUGUAUAUGUUUUUGUUGAUUCGGUUAUUAAAGACCCUAAUCUUCCUCCAGACGCCACCAUCAAAUCUUCUUUUGUUCAUCAAUUAUCUUCAUUCAAAAGGUUUGUUCUUUUUUUUUAUUGAAAUACUUCCAUGAUUUCCUCUUAUUUACACUAAUAUUUUGUGUUUCGAGUCUUUUCGUGUAACCAUUGCUAGGGUUUUGUUUCACACCAUCACUGAGGCGGCGACUGCACAAAGUGACAAUUAAAGAAGCUGGAUGUAUACAUUCUUCCUAUUAUUCAAGGAUUUAUAUUUACAUGCUGGGGAGCAGAGGAAUAAGUCGAGGGUGGAGAAUACACUGAAGGAUGUACUCAUUAGUGGUACUGCAACAUCAUGUCUACUAAUUGGAGGUAGCAUCAAAUCCAAGUAUUUCACUGAAUAUGCCUGAUACAAUAAAGAACUUAGCCUGCCUGCAGCUCUUGAUGAGACAAUGAAAUCUGAGCCAUAUAAAUACGAUAAAAAAACUAGACACGGUGAAGGUGAUAAAAAUCUUAAAUACCAUGAAAAGACGAAAAAAGAAGUGAAACUAGUGACAUGUCAGGUAAGGAGAAAAUUGAUACAGCUGAAAGAUGCUAUAAUGCUGACGAGGAUAGUAGCACAUUGAAACGGGAGAGGGGUAAAAAAGACACUGAUCGCUCUAUAGGGUCUAAGACACCUGAGAGAAGCAUAAGACGUCAUCACGAUAGUGAAUACAGUGAAAUGGAGACAAAAGUGGCAGUUACAGAAGGAAGGAUCUAGAAAAAGACAGUUAUAGGGAUGAAAGAUCACGAGGAAGAGAUGACAGCCGGAAAAGAAGGCAUGAAACAAAAGACGGUGAUGCCCCUUAUGACUAUACUAGAGAUUGGGAGUCACCAUCUCAAAGACGUGAUCGUGAUCGGGUCGACACGAAAAGACAUAUGGGUUGGAACAGGACCUAUGAUGUGAUAGAGAUCGAAAUUAAAGCUUAUGAUUUAUUGGAGGAAGAAUGAAGUUGAUGAGCAAUCUGCUAUUGCAAGAAACGCUGAUGAUCAAUCUGUUGAAAAUUCAAAAGAUUGAUAUGGAGACGAUGGAAACAAGGAUGAUAUCUAGGGUGGGAUAGGUAGAGGGAAAAAAGGUAAUUUACUCAAUCGUCCAGGUGGCGGCUGGCAAGGACAAUCUAACAACAGAAUGAGGAGGGGAGGAAAGGUACGGCCCACCGGGAGAGACAGUCAACCAGUCAACAUGCAAGUGCCAGUGAUGGGGUCACCUUUCGGACCACUCGGGAUGCCGCCACCUGGCGGCAUGCAAUCACUUACUCCCGCCAUGUCACUUGGUCCCGGUCCUCUCAUGUCUCCAGCUGUCUUUGUGAAAUGAUUUCAGCUUUAGGAUGUUAAAUGAUUUUGGAUGUACUCUGGCGAUGGCGAUGAUGCAGAGUUGUUGGUGAAGCUCAGGUUAACAAAGGUGAUGGUGGUGGUCAUAUGUGUUCCUGUGACGAUUUAAGGUGAGACAACUUCGAGCAGAGUUUCACACUGUUUCCAAAGGAGUUGCGUAGGGUUUUAGUCUCUUAACAUUAUUACACGUUUACACACACAUGACGAAAUGAUUUGGUCUUUCAGCAAGCACAUUUCUUAUUCCAGGGGGAUAUUUUUUCGUUUAUGGGCAUUGUUCAAAAAACAAGUGACAACUUGGAGGACUGCUAUGCUAAUGUCUUAAAAAUAUGCCAAAUUAAAUUGGAGCAAGAUGCUUAUGUGCACUGAGUGCUCCAACUAAUUUAGAUGUGCAACCACUUCCCUUAUAACAAAUUAUGCAUAUUCCAAAUGUUUCAAACAUGCGUAGGGUUCAUAUGAAAAUAAAAGACAAUAUUAUUUCAUUAUAAAAAACCCCCACAAAUUAUUUAGGGCA